GCCUGGGUGGCUUAGUCGGUUAAGCGUCUGACUUCAGCUUAGGUCAUGAUCUCAGUUUGUGAGUUCAAGCCCACUUUGGGUG
rnacentral:tRNA from 1 species